rnacentral:rRNA from 1 species
UAAGCAAAUAGUGAAAUCUUGUGGCUCAACCAUAAGGCUAUUAUUUGAACUGGCAGACUCGAGAAUGAGAGAGGUCACUGGAAUUCCCUGUGUAGGAGUAAAAUCCAUAGAUAUAGGGAGGAACACCAAUGGCGUAGGCAGGUGACUGGCUCAUUCCUGACACUGAGGCACGAAAGCGUGGGGAGCGAACGGGAUUAGAUACCCCGGUAGUCCACGCCGUAAACAAUGGAUGCUA